AAAAGUUGGGGAGACCUGACGCUGAAAGAUGGACUCGCGUCCCAUUAGCUAGUUGGUAGGGUAAUGGCCUACCAAGGCGACGAUGGGUAGCCGGCCUGAGAGGGUGGCCGGCCACACUGGGACUGAGACACGGCCCAGACUCCUACGGGAGGCAGCAGUGGGGAAUUUUGCGCAAUGCUCGUAAGAGUGACGCAGCGACGCCGCGUGAAUGACGAAGGCCUUCGGGUCGUAAAGUUCUUUCGACAGGGAAGAAAAUGCCUAUAAGUAACUGUGUAUGUAUUGACGGUACCUGUAUAAGCAGCCCCGGCUAACUCCGUGCCAGCAGCCGCGGUAAUACGGAGGGGGCGAGCGUUGUUCGGAGUGACUGGGCGUAAAGAGCACGUAGGCGGUGUUGUAAGUCAUUAGUCAAAGACUAGAGCUCAACUUUAGUAAGGCUAGUGAUACUAUAAUACUAGAGUAUCAGAGAGGAUUGCAGAAUUCCUGGUGUAGCGGUGAAAUGCGUAGAUAUCAGGAGGAAUACCGUUAGCGAAGGCGGCAAUCUGGCUGGAAACUGACGCUGAGGUGCGAAAGCGUGGGUAGCAAACAGGAUUAGAUACCCUGGUAGUCCA
rnacentral:rRNA from 1 species